AGAGUUUGAUCAUGGCUCAGGAUGAACGCUGGCGGCGUGCCUAACACAUGCAAGUCGAGCGAUUUACUUCGGUAAAGAGCGGCGGACGGGUGAGUAACGCGUGGGUAACCUGCCCUGUACACACGGAUAACAUACCGAAAGGUAUGCUAAUACGAGAUAAUAUGCUUUUAUCGCAUGGUAGAAGUAUCAAAGUUUUUGCGGUACAGGAUGGGCCCGCGUCUGAUUAGCUAGUUGGUAAGGUAACGGCUUACCAAGGCGACGAUCAGUAGCCGACCUGAGAGGGUGAUCGGCCACAUUGGAACUGAGACACGGUCCAAACUCCUACGGGAGGCAGCAGUGGGGAAUAUUGCACAAUGGGCGAAAGCCUGAUGCAGCAACGCCGCGUGAGCGAUGAAGGCCUUCGGGUCGUAAAGCUCUGUCCUCAAGGAAGAUAAUGACGGUACU
rnacentral:rRNA from 1 species